rnacentral:ncRNA from 2 species
UUUACGCAUCAAGAGUUGGGGCGAGACCCAACGCCAACCUGCUGACCGAGCAAGGUGGCCUCUCUGAAGGGAGGAUGUGGCCGAACCGGCAAUCAAACGGAUCCAG